rnacentral:tRNA from 1 species
UGGACAGGUGGCCGAGUGGUUGAAGGCACCGGUCUCGAAAACCGGCGUACCGGCAACGGUACCGUGAGUUCGAAUCUCACCCUGUCCGU